rnacentral:rRNA from 1 species
CUCGGAAUCACUGGGCGUAAAGGACGCGUAGGUGGAUAGAUAAGUCUCUUGUGAAAUCUAGUAGCUUAACUACUAAACUGCUUGGGAAACUAUCUAUCUAGAGUAAGGGAGAGGCAGAUGGAAUUCUUGGUGUAGGGGUAAAAUCCGUAGAUAUCAAGAGGAAUACUUAUUGCGAAGGCGAUCUGCUAGAACUUAACUGACACUAAUGCGUGAAAGCGUGGGGAGCAAACAGGAUUAGAUACCCUGGUAGUCCACGCCCUAAACGAUGUAUACUGGUUGUUGCUGUGCUAGUCAUGGCAGUAAUCCACCUAACGGAUUAAGUAUACCGCCUGGGGAGUACGGUCGCAAGAUUAAAACUCAAAGGAAUAGACGGGGACCCGCACAAGCGGUGGAGCAUGUGGUUUAAUUCGAAGAUACGCGAAGAACCUUACCCGGACUUGAUAUCUAACAAAUCAUCUAGAGAUAGAAGAGUGUCUGCUUGCAGAAAUGUUAAGACAGGUGCUGCACGGCUGUCGUCAGCUCGUGUCGUGAGAUGUUGGGUUAAGUCCCGCAACGAGCGCAACCCACGUGUUUAGUUGCUAACAGUUAGGCUGAGCACUCUAAACAGACUGCCUUCGUAAGGAGGAGGAAGGUGUGGACGACGUCAAGUCAUCAUGGCCCUUAUGUCCGGGGCGACACACGUGCUACAAUGGCAUAUACAAUAAGACGCAAUAUCGCGAGAUGGAGCAAAUCUAUAAAAUAUGUCCCAGUUCGGAUUGGAGUCUGCAACUCGACUCCAUGAAGCCGGAAUCGCUAGUAAUCGUAGAUCAGCCAUGCUACGGUGAAUACGUUCCCGGGUCUUGUACUCACC